UACAGAGACCUCAAGCGUUAUCCGGAUUUAUUGGGCGUAAAGCGUCCGCAGGUGGUUUGGCAACUUAGGGGUUAAAACCAACAGCUUAACUGUUGGAUCGCCUCUAAAAAUACCAAACUAGAGCAUGGAAGAGGUGAGCGGAAUUCUCGGUGUAGUCGUAAUAAGCGUUGAUAUCGAGAAGAACACCAAAUGCGAAGGCAGCUCACUGGUACAUUGCUGACACUCAGGGACGAAAGCGUGGGGAGCAAACAGG
rnacentral:rRNA from 1 species